CAAUAGAAUACAUGUUGGAUAGACGGUGAAUCCUAUAUUGUAUGAUAAUGACACCAAUGUUCGAAAUUUUAUAUAUUGGACAAUAGAUAAUGGCAAGCAGACACGUUGUUAUAAUACUCUUUGUCCUGGAUUUGUUCAAGUUGAUCCACAACAUCCACC